GGGGCAACCCGGUGAACUGAAACAUCUAAGUAACCGGAGGAAGAGAAAACAAAAGUGAUUCCGUUAGUAGUGGCGAGCGAACGCGGAUUAGCCCAAACCAGUGUUGUUACGGCAAUACUGGGGUUGUAGGACCACGAUAUUCGAAGCUAAGUAAAUUAGAACUGUUUGGAAAGACAGACCACAGAGGGUGAUAGUCCCGUAUAAGUAAGCGAAGUUAAGAUAGUGGUAUCCUGAGUAGUGCGGGACACGAGUAAUCCUGUAUGAAUCCA
rnacentral:rRNA from 1 species